rnacentral:misc_RNA from 1 species
AAACUGAUCUUGCUCGUCUGCCUUACGUCUGUGCAAUCAUAAACGAGACAUUGCGAAUGUAUCCUCCAGGACCAUUGCUAAUGCCUCAUGAAUCGUCACAAGAUUGUACUGUAGGAGGUUACCGUGUUCCUAGAGGCACCAUGCUACUAGUAAACAUGUGGGCAAUUCAAAAUGACCCUAAAAUCUGGGUUGAUCCUGAAAAAUUCAGGCCUGAAAGAUUUGAAGAUAAUGAAGGGAUGAGAGACGGGUUCAAAUUCCUUCCUUUUGGGACAGGGAGGAGAAGGUGCCCUGGGGACGGCUUGGCCAUGUGCGUUAUUGGAUUGACGUUGGGAUCGCUAAUUCAAUGCUUCGAGUGGGAGAAGGCUAAUGAGGAGAUGGUAGACAUGAGGGAGAAAAGUGGAUUUCAGUUGGCAAAGGAUCGACCUUUACAUGUUAAAUGCAGAAUACGUCCAGGCAUGGAUGAGGUUCUUUCUCAAAUUUGAAUAUUAGUAGUUUUUUUUUAGCUGGGAAUAGCUAAUAAAACACUGCACCUGUAUGAACUUCUGCACAAUGAACACCAUCACUUUCUAAGAAAUAACUUCCCUUUGUAUAUCUGGCCUAUAAGGUGUAAAAAUGCUAUUAUCUGCUAGGAAUUUCAAAUUGGCAUCACUCAAGCAUGAAGUUAAGGUCUCGUCGGUUAAGAAUGUUGCAGCUAUUAAAAGGUUGUUUAAUAAACUUUCAAUUUGUUCUUAUAAA